GAUUCGGAUUCAGAAUUUAGAAUCCAGACAACCAAUUACAGGCUGGCCAGAAUUAACCGUAGACAUGGGUCUCUAGUCGCUACCCUGAAGCGUUUUUUUUGGCAAGUCUCUACCCUGAAGCGCCCUCUAUAAAGAGAUGGCUUUGAGGCUUUCAAGUUUCAACUUUGAACAAUCACUUACCGAGGCUGCUUUGUGGAAUUGGGAGGAGCAAAAGAGCGAGGAGAGCAGAGAAUCCCAUUACAAAUAUCAGAAUUGGGAUCCAGAACAAUCCCUGCAGGAAUUGGAAAGAUAAGACUUGAACUCGAGACCUCCUGAUGAAUGUGAGCGGCUCACAGCGAUCCCAAUUCUUGAGACACUAGCAGCUCUAGGCGCAUCAUUCUCAAAUAUCUUGCUUGUAAUAAUCCAUGAAAUCUGUUUAGAAAAGAAAAUAGAAACUUUUGUAAUCAUAAAAGCUUUGUUUGUCGUUGUUAUAAAGCAAUCCAUCCAAGACUCUUAAACCUUACCAUACUUCUAAAUGUAAUCUUUAUUUUCUGGUGUGGUUGUGAAGUAAACUUAAUAACCAGAUUUGAAAUGUUUUGAGUUGAUUA